rnacentral:rRNA from 1 species
AUUGAACGCUGGCGGCAGGCCUAACACAUGCAAGUCGAGCGGAUGAAGGGAGCUGGCUCCUGGAUUCAGCGGCGGACGGGUGAGUAAUGCCUAGGAAUCUGCCUGGUAGUGGGGGAUAACGUCCGGAAACGGGCGCUAAUACCGCAUACGUCCUGAGGGAGAAAGUGGGGGAUCUUCGGACCUCACGCUAUCAGAUGAGCCUAGGUCGGAUUGGCUAGUUGGUGGGGUAAAGGCCUACCAAGGCGACGAUCCGUAAAUGGUCUGAGAGGAUGAUCAGUCACACUGGAACUGAGACACGGUCCAGACUCCUACGGGAGGCAGGAGUGGGGAAUAUUGGACAAUGGGCGAAAGCCUGAUCCAGCCAUGCCGCGUGUGUGAAGAAGGUCUUCGGAUUGUAAAGCACUUUAAGUUGGGAGGAAGGGCAGUAAGUUAAUACCUUGCUGUUUUGACGUUACCAACAGAAUAAGCACCGGCUAACUUCGUG